CGGAGCUUGCUCUGGUGGCGAGUGGCGAACGGGUGAGUAAUAUAUCGGAACGUACCCAGGAGUGGGGGAUAACGUAGCGAAAGUUACGCUAAUACCGCAUACGUCCUAAGGGAGAAAGUGGGGGAUCGCAAGACCUCAUGCUCNUGGAGCGGCCGAUAUCUGAUUAGCUAGUUGGUAGGGUAAAAGCCUACCAAGGCAACGAUCAGUAGCUGGUCUGAGAGGACGACCAGCCACACUGGAACUGAGACACGGUCCAGACUCCUACGGGAGGCAGCAGUGGGGAAUUUUGGACAAUGGGCGCAAGCCUGAUCCAGCAAUGCCGCGUGAGUGAAGAAGGCCUUCGGGUUGUAAAGCUCUUUUGUCAGGGAAGAAAAGGGNNUGGCUAAUAUCUGGUCCUCAUGACGGUACCUGAAGAAUAAGCACCGGCUAACUACGUGCCAGCAGCCGCGGUAAUACGUAGGGUGCAAGCGUUAAUCGGAAUUACUGGGCGUAAAGCGUGCGCAGGCGGUUUUGUAAGACUGUC
rnacentral:rRNA from 1 species